rnacentral:rRNA from 1 species
GAUGAACGCUGACAGAAUGCUUAACACGUGCAAGUCUUUGGCGAAGCUGUGCUUGCACAGCCUAGCCAAGGCGGACGGGUGAGUAACGCGUAAGGGACUUGCCCUGCAGUCAGGGAUAACAGACGGAAACGACUGAUAAGACCUGGUAAAGUCAGGCGGACUCAUGUCCAGCCUGAUGAAAAGGAAUGCUGCAGGAGAGCCUUGCGUCCUAUUAGCUUGUUGGUGGGGUAACGGCCCACCAAGGCGAUGAUAGGUAGCCGGCCUGAGAGGGUGGACGGCCACAAGGGGACUGAGAUACGGCCCUUACUCCUACGGGAGGCAGCAGUGGGGAAUAUUGGACAAUGGGGGCAACCCUGAUCCAGCAAUUCUGUGUGCACGAUGAAGGUCUUCGGAUUGUAAAGUGCUUUCAGCAGGGAAGAAAAAAAUGACGGUACCUGCAGAAGAAGCGACGGCUAAAUACGUGCCAGCAGCCGCGGUAAUACGUAUGUCGCGAGCGUUAUC